UUCUGGUAGCCUCUUCCUCUCCCCGUGCCUCCUCUUCCUCUCCCCCCUCUUCCUCUCCCUGUCCCUCCCAAAGUGGCAGCGCUUCUCCCUCCCUCUAUCUCUCUCGAACUAGCAGCGCUGCAGCGCAUCGGCGGCCUCCUCCCCCUCUGCCUCCUUCCUCCCUCUCUCUGCCUCUCUCUCCCCAUGUGCCGGCGCAGCUAGGCGGAUUGGAUGAGGCAGCGACGCACCAGGUGGCUAGCGGCGUGGGUGGGUCGGCAGCACACGGAUCCAGGGCCUCCAUCACCGGAUCCAGGGCCUCCCCAUGCCCGCUCCAUACCGCCUCCCCGCGCCAGCCACGGCGGAUCCAACCCCGGCUGUGGUGGUUUGGGCCCCAGCCAUGGUGGAUCCUACGGAUUUGGCCCCAGCCAUGGCGCCUACGACGACUUGCUGCCCGUGCCUCUAGGUACUCCGCCUCGACUUCGACCGCAUGGCUCCACCUUUGUCUCUUCCACUCUGCCAUAGAUUAUUUAUCCCAUAGGAUGCUGCUUGCGUCGAUUCGAUUCCCAUGGGCUGUUCCUCGUGAUGCUCUGCUGAGAUUUGUGCAGGAAGGAGGAUGUGCAGGAUGCUUCUUUUUUUUUCAGAUCCACUCGUCCAUGUGGUUAUGCAAUCUUCGUAUACCCCUCACCUCCCUGCUGUUCGCUUUCUGAUUUUUAUUCAUUCUUCAUGUUGUAGAAGUAGAACUAAUGGUGGAACACAAGACAUAUAGCACUGCAGCACUGGAUACAAGUAAACCUAGUAUGAUGCUGUGGUCCACUACUGUAUUGUCUAAAACAUAGGAUUGUGCCCAGGAAAAAAAUCAUGAUGUAGUUUAACUAGGAUGUUCUUUUUAGCAGAGACAUUUAUGUGUCCAUGAGGGAAAAUUCUACUGCAAGGAUGCAGGACAGUCCCGUCAAUAUGUUCUCAUCAUGAGUAAAUGGCGGCAUUUAUGGUUAAUUUCGUUGAAGAUUUUUAAAUAACUAGAUUACUCUAAUGCCUCAUUAGGUCAUUAAUUGGGUGUUGAGGCAUGGAAGGGGCUCUAUCAGAGCAUCAGGUCAACACAGAACGGCAAUGGACCAGCUAUGUCACUUAUAAAUAUGGUGAAGGAGAAAACAUACUAAACUCUGGUCACUGGUACAACUGAAAUUUUGCUCAAUAUCAUGCUAGAUAGAUAAAAUAAACUGCCCUGCUGUGUAGUGGAUUAUCAAUCUAAUAUAUGAUAGUUGUGUCAAAAAAAGAUGAUAGUUGCAUUUUAUCUUCAUGAUGGUUAAUUGGUUAUUUGUGGCAGGGGAGACAAGUCUAUUGAGUUAGGCAAUGAGGAUGAGGGCUGCUAUAUCACGUCCUAUUGAUAAUUGCAGAUGGGCAAGUACCAUGUUAAAUCAUUAUACUAGAACUGACAAGAAGUAUGGUGGACUAAGUUUAUCAUAUGAAGACGUUGGGUCAAGUUCUUGCAGUCACAGGUUGUCAUCGAGUACCAUAGGAAAGUUUGUGCCUUUGUGCCUUCGGAGACUUGCCUGUCUACUGUUUUGUAUGGCCAAAGCUGGUUGCCUCAUGGAAUUAGUUGGGUCAUUUCUUAUGUACAAUUAUACUCGUGUAGUCAAUGUAUUUAAUCUUAAGAACAAUCCGUAUACUAUGUAGUAUCUGUUUAUGUACUGUUAGGAGUCUUCUAGGUAACAGCUCCUUGAGUAGAUGUUUUGUAGCAUAAGUUGUAUCUAAAGUUUGUAAAGAAUUUGAUUGCUUCAUAAGUUGUAUCUAAAGCUUCUAAUAAAGAAUUUGAUUACUGAAAUA